GACGUAGCGCAGCUUGGUAGCGCGCCUCAAUGGGGUUGAGGAGGUCGCUGGUUCGAAUCCAGUCGUC
rnacentral:tRNA from 1 species